rnacentral:rRNA from 1 species
CAAUAGCGUAUAUUAAAGUUGUUGCAGUUAAAAAGCUCGUAGUUGGACCUUGGACCUGGACAGGCGGUCCGCCUCACGGCGUGUACUGUCUUGCUGGGUCUUUCCUCUUGGUGAUCUGUUGUUUCGGCAGCAGGGAACCAGGACUUUUACUUUGAAAAAAUUAGAGUGUUCAAAGCAGGCUCGACGCCGGAAUAUAUUAGCAUGGAAUAAUAAAAUAGGACGUGCGGUUCUAUUUUGUUGGUUUUUGGAAUCGCCGUAAUGAUUAAUAGGGACAGUCGGGGGCAUUAGUACUCACAUGCUAGAGGUGAAAUUCUUGGAUUUUGUGAAGACUAACUUCUGCGAAAGCAUCUGCCAAGGAUGUUUUCAUUAA